CAGGGGAAAAGAGGAUCAGAGGAAGAACGGAGAAGAGAGCAACAUGGAUUGCGUGGCUUACGGGGGAGGAAAGGGCCCCGAUUCCCUUCACAAGGCACACCUGGGGAUGGAGUUUAAAGGAGAAGCAGAUGGGAGGGAU